UAGGGAAUCUUCGGCAAUGGACGGAAGUCUGACCGAGCAACGCCGCGUGAGUGAAGAAGGUUUUCGGAUCGUAAAGCUCUGUUGUAAGAGAAGAACGAGUGUGAGAGUGGAAAGUCCACACUGUGACGGUAUCUUACCAGAAAGGGACGGCUAACUACGUGCCAGCAGCCGCGGUAAUACGUAGGUCCCGAGCGUUGUCCGGAUUUAUUGGGCGUAGAGCGAGCGCAGGCGGUUAGAUAAGUCUGAAGUUAAAGGCUGUGGCUUAACCAUAGUACGCUUUGGAAACUGUUUAACUUGAGUGCAAGAGGGGAGAGUGGAAUUCCAUGUGUAGCGGUGAAAUGCGUAGAUAUAUGGAGGAACACCGGUGGCGAAAGCGGCUCUCUGGCUUGUAACUGACGCUGAGGCUCGAAAGCGUGGGGAGCAAACAGGAUUAGAUACCCUGGUAGUCCACGCCGUAAACGAUGAGUGCUAGGUGUUAGACCCUUUCCGGGGUUUAGUGCCGCAGCUAACGCAUUAAGCACUCCGCCUGGGGAGUACGACCGCAAGGUUG
rnacentral:rRNA from 1 species